UAUGAAGCCUAUUUCUGGAGCAAUACUGUAGAUUCUAACACAUCAAAUGCUGGGUUGCGAGUAGUAUUCGAUGAUUCAGGCUACUUGUAUGUGUUGCGAGCAAGCGGUAAACGAGAACUCCUCACUACAGGAACAGUUGCCUCAGCUGCAGAAAAUUAUCACAGAGUUACUCUCAAUUUUGAUGGGGUUUUAGUCCAGUAUACGCGCCCAAGGAAUUCCACUGGC
rnacentral:misc_RNA from 1 species